UACGGAGGGUGCAAGCGUUGCUCGGAAUUAUUGGGCGUAAAGCGUGAGUAGGCGGUCUUGUUUGUCCUGGGUGAAAGCCCGAGGCUCAACCUCGGAAGUGCCCUGGAAACGGCAAGACUAGAGUCCUAGAGAGGGUCGCGGAAUUCCCGGUGUAGCGGUGAAAUGCGUAGAGAUCGGGAGGAACACCAGAGGCGAAAGCGGCGGCCUGGAUAGGUACUGACGCUCAACCACGAAAGCGUGGGGAUCAAACAGG
rnacentral:rRNA from 1 species